rnacentral:rRNA from 1 species
AUUGAACGCUGGCGGCAGGCUUAACACAUGCAAGUCGAGCGGUAGCACAGGGGAGCUUGCUCCCUGGGUGACGAGCGGCGGACGGGUGAGUAAUGUCUGGGAAACUGCCUGAUGGAGGGGGAUAACUACUGGAAACGGUAGCUAAUACCGCAUAACGUCGCAAGACCAAAGAGGGGGACCUUCGGGCCUCUUGCCAUCAGAUGUGCCCAGAUGGGAUUAGCUAGUAGGUGGGGUAAUGGCUCACCUAGGCGACGAUCCCUAGCUGGUCUGAGAGGAUGACCAGCCACACUGGAACUGAGACACGGUCCAGACUCCUACGGGAGGCAGCAGUGGGGAAGUAUUGCACAAUGGGCGCAAGCCUGAUGCAGCCAUGCCGCGUGUGUGAAGAAGG